GCUUUUUUGUCAAUUGCAGAGAGAGAGAGAUAGAGGAUAAGGAGAAAAGAGAGAGCUCAACCCUAAUUCCUUUUGUCGCCACUUCUCCAUAGGCGCCGCCGAAACCAUCUCCUCUUCUGAUAGAGCUUAUGAUCUUGGGUUUGUUGUUUAGUUCUGGCUGGAAUCCGAGUCGAUCGUUUCACAAUUACUAUGGCGUCUUCUAGGGUUUCAGGAAAAGUCCAAAUCAAGCAAAUCCAUUUGGUCCAUCACUAAAGGUCAACUCUCCAACCUCAACUGACUAUGUUCUUUUGAGUAUUGUAGAAUGACCAUGUUUCACUCCUUCAAAUUUAAUCACUUCGGUCAGAUCUGCAACGAUGAGCUUUUCUCUGUCUCUAAUUUCUCAACAAAUGAUGAUGUAGCGAAGUUUCUUCAGAGAUGGUUCUGGCUGGAAGCCGAGUCGAUCUGAGAUAAUGGAUGCUCUCGGGUUUCUGAAGGUUUUAUGAUCUCUGCUGUGUGUACUGCUGGGUGAAGGUAUACUGACUGAGGCAGGAGAAACAACUUUUUAAAAAAGGUUACAGUGCUAAGUGGCACAAAUGGUAUAUUUAGUGUAAUUUUCAUAUGAUUAUUUAGCUAGAUUGGUUAUAAAUUUUGCUAGUAGUGAAUCAUGUAGAUAUUUGGGGACAAUGGGGUUGCUCCAGAUUGAUUUUACAUGGACUGACAAGUGUUUUCUAAUAUGUUACUGAUGGUUUUUUUGUCCAAUGAAGAAGCUGAAGAUAUCAAGAAAAUGUUUUUUUAAAAGAUGGCGUUGUAACAACUGAAAUACUGAAAGGUGGACUACAAAAGUUUAAUACACGUUGUCGAGUCUGUGCUUAUUGAAGAUGCGUUCUAUACACACUUCCGGAAUAUCAUAGCCAUAUAUCCCGACCGCCUGCAGUGGUCAAACAACAGGCACGAAAACCAUAACCCUCGUGGAGCUAUUUCUGAUCGACACAUUGGAGAUGUUGCACAUCGAUUCAGUACAGGAGCACAUGAAGAGUAUACCGAGCUCUCAGCCGUGGAAGGUUUGGCCCAAUAUACCAAACUAAUCUGGGAGAUUGCCGAUCAGUUGCCAUCAAAAAGCUCAUAGUCUCGGGCCUUGUAAAAUCUCAAGAAGAUUUCUCGAGGGAGGUUAAGAAACUGGGAAAGAUUCAUCAUCUGAAUCUUGUAGCACUCGAAGGGUCAUCCACCAAAUUACAGAAAUGGUGCUGUUUUGAGUUAGGAAACGGAGAAGAAGAGAACAGGGGAGAGUGUGCUGUGCAAGUGGCAGCUCCGUUAUUUAAGGUUUGGCUUCCUUUUGGGUUUUCUAUUGGUCUUGCGGAUUGUUAGAAAUUUGUUAUGGAUGAAACAAAGAAGAAAUCAGAAGAUAUGUCAGGUGACCCUUCGUCAGGACUAAUGUGGGAUGUAAAAAUUACACACUUUGUAUUUGCUUUGUUUUAUGAUUUAGAUGUACCUUUAUUUUAUUAGUUUUUUUUUUUUUCUGAAUUUUUUUUUUUAUCAUAUCUAAACAUCAAAUACAAUAAGCAUGUCAUUGUAUAUUUUUUACUACAUUUGUUAUUUAAGUCCUAAUUUGUUAUUUAAGUCCUGUUAUUGUAGUCCAUAAAUUAUUGAAUGCAUGCUUUUUAGUAUAUUUGUU